GCUGGUGAGAAGGAUGCUUAAGGAGCAACUCACGGAUGCCUGGUCAUCCAACGCCGCUCUUGGGAAGGUCUGAGACAAGGUCCAACGCCGAGGGUGGCGUUUAUCUCCUAGCAGGAGAGGUUGUGCAAUGCACGCCGGGGCCGUACGAGAAAAUGGCCGGUGGUUGUGCGCGUGACGCAAGAUGGGUAACUAUGCUCGGACGUCUGGUGCGCAUAACCGCCGUUCGGAAACGGUGUCGGUACCUGCUGUGCUGAGUGCGAUAGCGUAUGAACAAACUCAAUUCAGACUACUCUCUCGCCAGU
rfam:Ascaris lumbricoides genome assembly, scaffold: ALTE_scaffold0002532